rnacentral:rRNA from 1 species
UGUAAGCGUAUACCAAAGUUGUUGCAGUUAAAACGCUCGUGGUCGGAAUUUGGCAGUUCCGGAUGUGUGCACGUCGUGUGCGCACUUCGCGGGGAUUGCUUUUGUGGUCUUGCGUAGGAUGAGGCACUUUUAUUAGUGAACGUCCUCACGCAACCACUUUUUACUGUGAGAAAAUCAGAGUGCUCAAAGCAGGCAUUUGCCGUGAAUGUAUUAGCAUGGAAUAAUAGAAUAGGACUUGGUUCUAUUUUGUUGGUUUGUUGGGACUGAGUAAUGAUUAAGAGGGACAGUUGGGGGCAUUUGUAUUUCGGUGCUAGAGGUGAAAUUCUUAGAUUACCGAAAGACAAACUGCUGCAAAAGCGUCUGCCAAGGAUGUUUUCAUUGA